rnacentral:tRNA from 2 species
GCGGGGAUAGUUCAGUUGGGAGAACGUCAGACUGAAGUCCAACUUCAAUCAUGCAAUCUGAAGGCCGUGCGUUCGAUCCGCACUCACCGCA